CAUCAAAAGACCCACACUGGGGAGAAGCCAUAUAAAUGCAUGGAAUGUGGAAUGAGCUUUAGUCGGAAUGACUGUCUGCAUUCCCAUCAAAGGACCCACACAGGGGAGAAGCCAUAUAAGUGCACGGAAUGUGGAAAGAGCUUCUCUACAAGGGGAAAUAUGCAGUACCAUCAAAGGAUCCACACUGGGAAGAAGCAAUAUAAAUCCAUAGAAUAUGGACAGAGCUCCACUCAGAAUGGCAUACUGCGUUCCCAUGAAAAGAUCUACACGAAGGAGAAGCCAUUUAAGUGUAUGAAAUGUGGAAAGUGCUUCUAUAUCAGUAGAAGUCUAAAGUCCCAUCAAAGGACCCACACUGGGGAGAAGCCAUAUAAAUGCAUGGAAUGUGGAAAGUGCUUCAAUCACAGUGGAAAUCUGAAGACCCAUCAAAGGACCCAUACAGGGGAGAAGCCAUAUGAAUGCAUGGAAUGUGGGAAAAGAUUCAGUAAAAGUGAACAUCUGCAUUGCCAUCAAAGAACUCACACAGGUGAGAAGGCGUAUAAAUGCAUAGAAUGUGGAAAGAGCUUUAGUCAGAGUGGAAAUCUGCGUUCCCAUCAAAGGACUCACACUGGGGAGAAGCCAUAUAAAUGCAUAGAAUGUGGAAAGCGCUUUAGUCAGAGUGGAAAUCUGCGUUCCCAUCAAAGGACUCACACUGGGAAGAAGCCUUAUAAAUGCAUAGAAUGUGGAAAGUGCUUUAGUCAGAGUGGAAAUCUGCAUUCCCAUCAAAGGACUCACACUGGGGAGAAGCCAUAGAAUAACUUGGAUAGUGUGAAGUUCUGCAUUUUUGUUAAAGGACUUGCUUUCAUUGUGUGUACCUGUCUGGCAGGGGCUUGGUUUGAAUGGUCCUUGUGGUCUGGUCCAGCUCUAGGAUUCUAUGCCCCACAUAAAUGCUUGGAAUUUGGAAAUCACUUCAGGUAUGGCAGAGCAGGUAUUAGGCAUCAGCAAACUCACCCCUGUGACUUUCCAAGUUGUCCCAAAAUGAAGCUGUACAUUUUCUCAGACAAGUGUCUUCUCCCUUUCCAGGCAGACAAGGAAGGGGAGGACAGGGGAAGGGAUAGAGCCCCUCCUUCGCAGUCAUUGAAAAUGUUUCAUCAUUUCAAUCAGAGUUCACAUCUACAUAAACAUUAUAGAAUUCACACUGGAAAGAACGAUGACAAUUGGCACUAGAGUGUCUUUCUAACAUGAACAAAAAAAAAACCCUGUAAAUUUUGGAAAUGCAAGCUCAAAGUUGGGGCAUUUCAUCAUAUGUAGAAAGAUUGAACAAAAAUAUAUUUUAACCUAGAAGUAAUUAACGUUAAAUGAAACCAGAGUUUAUUUGUUGAGAAUGCUGGAUGAUCAAGUAGAAAGAAAACAAGGAUACUUACUACAGUAUAUAACUACAGUGGAUAGGUGGAUCUGUAAUUGGCUAAGCGAACGAACCCAAAGGGUGCUCACCAAUGCGUCGUCUUCAUCAUGGAAAGAAGUGACAAGUGGAGUGCCGCAGGGCUCCGUCCUGGGCCCGAUUCUGUUCAACAUCUUUAUUAACGACUUAGACGAAGGGUUAGAAGGCACGAUCAUCAAGUUUGCAGAUGACACCAAACUCGGAGGGAUAGCUAACACUCCAGAAGACAGGAGCAGAAUUCAAAACGAUCUUGACAGACUAGAGAGAUGGGCCGAAACUAACAAAAUGAAGUUCAACAGGGACAAAUGCAAGAUACUUCACUUCGGCAGAAAAAAUGGAAAUCAAAGAUACAGAAUGGGGGACGCCUGGCUUGACAGCAGUGUGUGCGAAAAAGAUCUUGGAGUCCUCGUGGACAACAAGUUAAACAUGAGCCUACAAUGUGAUGCGGCAGCUAAAAAAGCCAAUGGGAUUUUGGCCUGCAUCAAUAGGGGAAUAACGUCUAGAUCCAGGGAAGUCAUGCUCCCCCUCUAUUCUGCCUUGGUCAGACCACACCUGGAAUACUGUGUCCAGUUUUGGGCACCGCAGAUGAAGGGAGAUGCUGACAAGCUGGAAAGCGUCCAGAGGAGGGCAACUAAAAUGAUUAAGGGUCUGGAGAACAAGCCCUAUGAGGAGAGGCUUAAAGAGCUGGGCAUGUUUAGCCUGCAGAAGAGAAGGCUGAGAGGAGACAUGAUAGCCAUGUACAAAUAUGUGAGGGGAAGUCAUAGGGAGGAGGGAGCAAGCUUAUUUUCUGCUGCCCUGCAGACUAGGACACGGAACAAUGGCUUCAAACUACAGGAAAGGAGAUUCCACCUGAACAUCAGGAAGAACCUCCUCACUGUGAGGGCUGUUCGGCAGUGGAACUCUCUCCCCCGGGCCGCGGUGGAGGCUCCUUCUUUGGAGGCUUUUAAGCAGAGGCUGGAUGGCCAUCUGUCGGGGGUGCUUUGAAUGCGAUUUCCUGCUUCUUAGCGGGGGGUUGGACUAGAUGGCCCUUGAGGUCUCUUCCAACUCUACUAUUCUAUGAUUCUAAUAUACUUUGUGCAGAAAUUGAAGGAACAUCUCAUUCCAAUGCAAGAAGAAUGGCAAAUGAAGAUGUGCAGAUUAGCAAAAAUGAACAAACUGACAACAAACUGACCACAGCUGGGCUGUGGCGCAGGCUGUUGAGCAGCUGCAAUAAAUCACUCUGACCAUGAGGUCAUGAGUUCAAGGCCAGCCCGUGGCGGGGUGAGCACCUGUCAAUUAAAAAUAAAAAAUAGCCCCUGCUCGUUGCUGACCUAGCAACCCGAAAGAUAGUUGCAUCUAUCAAAUAGGAAAUAAGGUACCACUUAUAAAAAAAGUGGGGAGGCAAGGUUAACUAAUUUACGACCUGGAAUAAGGAAGUGCCGUCAGAGUGGAUGAUGAAGCAGUUGCUCCCCCCUAUGGCCAGAAUCGAACAUCCCCUCAGGAGAAGGUUAAAUUGCCUCUGCGUCUGUCUCGGUCUCUGUCUGAUGUGUUUAUGGGCAUUGAAUGUUUGCCCUAUGUGUGUAUAAUGUGAUCCGCCCUGAGUCCCCUUCGGGGUGAGAAGGGCGGAAUACAAAUACUGUAAAUAAAUAAAUAAACAAUAUGGGCAAAUGUCAGUUGUAAGGUUUAUUAAUUCAAGGAGUGUUAUCAAAAGUAGAAGUGUGAUUACUCGUAUAAAGCAUUUUUUAAAGUGAGUAUAAUAAUACGGGAUACAAAUUAACAGCUAUAAUGAGGCUUGUAAAAUGUACCCAUGUCUAUCUGUUCGUUCAGUUUGUGUGUCUGUAGGUAUCUGAUUGGUGUAUUUGUUUCUGAUUUAGUUUUGUGUUUUCCGUAUUAGUUAGAUUGUUGUGUAGUUCAAGCAUGAUAUACAAUUUGUACCUUUUUUGUAUUAUUGCUUUUGAUCUCUUUAUUAUCUUUUAUUUUGCAAAAACGGGGAAUUUAUAAAGGUAAAAGUUUCUGAAAUGAAGGAUGGAUAGAUUUAGCUGUAGAAUAAAAUGGAGUUUUAUGCUUAAACUAGAUUGCCUUUGAAUAUCAUUUCCUGUCUCUGUGUUGGUGGCAUGGGUUUCUAUUUAUAGCUCUGCCCACAGAAAUUCUGGCAAUUUUGCACCCAAAAGCAUAGUUCUAGCAAUUUCAAUCAGGCUCCUAUUUUGAUGAAGAAAAUAGGGAAGGAAAUUCUUGUGGGCAAUGCCAUAGCGCUUGAUUAGGCCAUUAACCUUCUCAUUGCAAAAUUCCUUCACAUUAUUCAUACUCAAAGUUUCAGGCAAUCUCUUUAAACUGAUUUUUCACUCUUGCCAAAAAUUCCUUCAUUUUUUCAUACACCUCAUCCUUGUUUUUCAAGAAAAACGCCAUGGUAAAUUUUGAGAAAUGAUCAGUAAAAGUCAAAAUAUAUAAACUUCCAUUAAUAGAUGGAAUUCUCAUUGGAUAGAGACAGAAAUCCCCUUAUAGGAAUCCCUCAUUCUAAUCCUGCUUUCUCAGUCUAGGUACUCAUUGGGACUGGAGAUUGUAGAGUCCAGGAUGACACCCAACAGGAUUCAAUUUUAAUGUCUAGAGAUGACUUUUCUUAACUUAUAUGGUUUAAUGUAUAUGCUUAUUAUUUUUACAUUUUUAUUUAUAUAUGACAUUGAACUGUUGCCAAUUUGUAAGCCUCUCUGAGUCCCCUUCAGGGUGAGAAGGGUGUAUUAUAAAUAUAGUAAGUAAAUAAAUCACUACUUGUAGCAACAAGUCAAUUAGGAUACAAAGCAUCUGUCUCUAACCACACCUAGAAACUAGGAAAAUGUCCAUGGAUAAUAAAAUGAAUGUACCCUCUUUCAUGGCAUAAUAGUCACACUUUCCCCCCUUUCUUUCAUCAAAAAAAGGAAGGUGCAAUUAUUACAGGAGAAAAAAAAUCUGUUUUUUUAAAAUGCCUUCCCUCUUAAAGGGGAGAAAAAGAAGAGAUGAUCCCACCUCAAACAAACAGUUGUUUGUUUUUUUAACUGUAUUUAUUUAUUUAUUUACAGUAUUUAUAUUCCGCCCUUCUCACCCGAGGGGACUCAGGGUGGAUUACAAUGAACACAUACAUGGCAAACAUUCAAUGCCAACAGACAAACAACAUACAGUAUAGACAGACACAGAGGCAUUUAACAUUUUUCCAGCUUCACGAUUCCGGCCACAGGGGGAGCUGUUGCUUCACCGUCCACUAGUGGCUGUACUUCCUCAUUCCUUUCCUCGUGUUUUGCUGGCAGUUUUAUGGUGUUGUAAAUUAGUUAAAUUAGCCUCCCGCAUAAAACGUACCUAAAUUUCCCUACUUGACAGAUGCAACUGUCUUUCGGGGCUGCAUAGGUCAACAGCAAGCUGGGCUAUUUAAUGGUCGAGGGCUUAAUCCGACCCGGGCUUUGAACUCAGUAGUGAUUUAUUGCAGCAGGUUACUAGCCAGCUGCGCCACAGCCCGGCCCUGUAGAGCCUUUGGGGCUGAUUUCCCCUUCUUUCUCCAAAGGCAAGGCAGCUGAAAACCUAUCAAAUUGAGGUUUCUGGAGCUGCACUUUUUCCUGUUUUUCAGCUGCUUUGCCAAAGAGAAAGGAGAGAAGAGCUUCAGAGACCAUCUUGUUGUAGUUUUUAAACUGCAUUGCCUUUGGAGAAAGAAGGGGAAAUGAAGGGCGAAGGAAUGAAGGGGAAAUCAGCCCCAAGUGGGGUGCAAUAAUUAUGCGAGGAAAACUCAUAAUACCAUGAAAUAAACCAGGAUGGUGGUGGUGAAAGAGCACCGGAGAUGGAGGUCACGGGGUGGCUUUGGAGUGGGAGAACGUGGUGGAGGGACUCCUGUCUAGUUCUCUCAGAUCUGAUGUACGCAAUCUCUCUGGAAUAUGGAAUGGAAGUUAGGUUGUCCAUAAUUCCCGGUAAUCUGUAUAGAACUCCUUGAAAGAUGUAUAUACGUGUGUUUGUCACCUUGUUCGAAGUUUUAAAAACAGGCUGAAUGCCCAUCGUUCAGGUUUCAUUGACAGGGGAACUAGAUGACGUUUGAUUUCGCUUUCUACUGUGGAGUCCAAUCACCUGUCUUUCUGUGAUGUUGUGGUGUCCAAGACAGAGAUGCAGCUGCUUAGAUAUUGUAUAUCCUCCUUCUGUUUUCUAUAGCAGAUAUUCCUGUCCUGGAAAGAGGUUGGACUUGAUGAUCUUUGUAGGUCACAUCCGACUUUUUGAUUCGUUAAGAACACCAGAGCCAAUGCUUAAACUCCCCUGGUCCUGGGAAAUUGCUGCAAUAAAGAAAGAAGCCUUUAGCAAAGCAGGGUUGAUGCUCCACUGGCGGAGCCCCCAGUGGCGUAGUGGGUUAAAGCCUUGUAACUUGAAGGUUGUGUUGCUGACCUGAAGGCUGCCAGGUUUGAAUCCCACCCGGGGAGAGCGCGGAUGAGCUCCCUCUAUCAGCUCCAGCUCCAUGCGGUGACAUGAAAGAAACCUCCCACAAGGAUGGUAAAAACAUCUGGGUGUCCCCUGGGCAACGUCCUUGCAGACAGCCAAUUCUCUCACACCAGAAGCGACUUGCAGUUUGUCAAGUUGUUCCUGACAUGAAAAAAAAAUGCUCCACUGGCAGGUAGCCCUCCAGAAAACAAGGUCAUCCCUUCUUGGCACAAUGGAGCAGCUCAGGAGGGACCUGAGAGAAAUUGGUUUCCUGUCCAUUUACAUUGCAAAAGCAGGCAAGAAGAAAGAAGCUAUUGUGAUCAGUGCAGCUGAUGUUUUUAAAGGCAUUACUAAACAUUAUUUUCAUCCCAGCAUGCCAAUGGACAAGAUGUUAAAACCACAGGAACGUUGUUGGGAGGGAAAAGGCAGUGAACCACCCUCUGCUUCCUAUGGCCCUUUGACAGGAUGGCCAUUUCUGGUUAUACAAGUUGAGAAUCUGUUAUCUAUAAAUCCAAAGCACUCUAUUCAGCAUUGCAAACAUUUCGGCGUUAGGCAUUUAGAGCUGCAGAACAAAGAAUCAAUUUUAUUCAAGGGGCAUUUCUGCAUUUCAGGUUAUCACAAGCAAUGCCAUUUUGGAGGCAAAAGUCUGCUAAGCAAGAUAGUUGUAGCCAGAGCCGGAUUCCUGGUUGGCCCAUCACAGGUGCCUGGGGGCCAGUGGCUCAAGUUUUGAAUCGCUUGACACCACCUGUGUUUUGGGAAGCCAAGAUGGUGAAAUGUGGAGGUCCCAUUCCUAAUGCAGUGCUUAAAUGUUUGAAUGCAUUGGGAGUGGGAGUUAGGGCAGGAUGGAAGGCAGUAAUCGGGCUCGGAUGGGUCCUUUUGACUGUGCUCUGUGAUGUCUCAGUGGAAAAGAAGACAGCAAGCUAAAGAUAUUUUAGCUUUAAAAGAUCAGCAAUUUCUCUUGAGAGAAGCCUUGGAAAGCACACAAGGGAGGGUGGAUUUGGCUGAGAAAAAAGCCACUACUCUGGCUUUUCACUUUGCAAAAAUUAAACAUUAAUGUAUAUGAAGAAAAAGCACAUGUCUUACCCAUGUACUUACUUACUUAGGCAAUCCCUUGUUGUCCGGGUAUGAUGGCCUUCCGAGUAUAGUGUUUUGGUGGUGCACCAGCUGUGACCAUUCUUCAAGAAGCCUGACUUGGCCACGGUGGUCCAUGCCUUGGUUAUAUCUAGACUGGACUACUGUAAUGUACUCUACGUGGGGCUGUCCUUAAAGACGGCCCGGAAAUUCCAACUAGUCCAAAGAUCUGCAGCCAGGCUCCUGACUGGAGCUAGUUAGAGGGAUCGGACAACUCCUCUACUUGGCUCCAGAGAGUUAACGUUCAUCUUUUUUUCAGAGAACAUUGAACCCAGCAAGUGAUGGAUCUGGACCAAACUUAGCACACAAACCCAACACUGCCAACUUGGGGUGAUUAAUCUUGGCAUUAGAGUUAUAGUUCACCCCUAUUCAGAGAACUCUGAACCCAGCAAGUGACAGGUCUGGACCAAACUUGGCACACAAACCCAACACUGCCAACUUGGGGUGAUUGGCCUUGGCAUCAGAGUUAUAGUUCACCCCUAUUCAGAGAACUCUGAACCCACCAAGGACAGAUCUGGACCAAACUUAGCACACAGACCCAACACUGCCAACUUGGGGUGAUUGACCUUGGCACCAGAGAGAAUACUGAAUCCAGCAGAUAACGGAUCUCGACCAAACUUGCCACACAGGCUCAACAUAACCAACUGUGAAUCCUGGCAGAUGUUUCAGGAAGAUUGUAAGCUUAACACAGAUAGUCCACUUAUAUACAGAAAAUAAAAUAAAUGAGUUCAGCAACUAGGUUAAACGUUAAGCUUAUUAUACUGUUAGAAUUCACAGUAAUCACAAACAAUAUGAUAUGGGUUUUGUCUCUCUGAAGUAGUAUAUAAGUGGGCUAUUUGUGUUAAGCUUACUAACUCAGGAACCCAUUCACAUUGUACAUUUCGGAAAGAUUGCCAUAGGAAUCUGGGAAUUGUAGUUCGCCCUUAUCCAGAGAGCACUGAACCCAGCAGAUCCGGACCAAACGCGCCACACAAACCUAACACAGCCAACUUUGUCUAAUGGCAAGGUUUGGGAGUGAUUGAAUUUGGCAUCCGGGGGUUACAGUUCACCUGUAUUCAGAAAACACUGAACCCAGCCAACGUCAGAUCUGGACCAAGCUUGGCACACAGAUCCAACAUGGCCAACUGUGAAGACUGGGGCGGUUUCGAGGUGAUUGCCCUGGGAAUCUGGGAGUUUUAGUUCACCCUUGUCCAGAGAACACUGAACCCAGCAGAUGACGGAUCUGGGCCAAAUUUGGCACACAGACCUAACAAUGCCAACUGUGAAGACUGGGACGGUUUCAAGGCGAUUGCCCAGGGAAUCUGGGCCAAAUUUGGCACACAGACCCAACAUGGCCAACUGUGAAGACUGGGGGCAUUUUUGGAGGAUUGACCCAAGAUUUUUGGGAAUUGUGGUUCACCAACAUCCUUAUGCAUUAUCUUAUGGGAACAUCCAUAAAAAAUGAAAGCAAAGACUGAGGUUUUUUUUUUUAUAAGAAACAGUGUAACAUAGGACCAAAUAGAUAUUAUCUCACAUCCAAAAACAAACAAGGCCGUUUUCAAAAAACCUGGACACUGCCGAAUAGCCAAGCUAGAACUCAUCUAUAGGUCAACAUCAUAUAUACGUUGUGGGCAAGUUUUGGGGCCAAGAUGUUGGGUUUUGACACCCUUUCUGUGGCUCCCAGAGGCCUCCGACCCAAGUAUUCAAAUGCCGGGUUGUUGUAUGUCUUUCGGGCUGUGUGGCCAUGUUCCAGAAGUAUUCUCGCCUGACGUUUCACCCACAUCUAUGGCAGGCAUCCUCAGAGGUUGUGAAGUAUGGAUAAACUAAGUAAGGAAAAAUGCCAUUAGCAAUAUCGUGGUUGAGAGAAGGGUUGGUGUUUCUAGACUUAUAUAUGACUAUAUAGGUCAGGGGUCCCCAAAGUAAGGCCCAGGGGCUGGAUGAGGCCUUGGAGGUCAGUUCCCCAGCCCCUGCCCCCAAACUUUGGUUCUAGGGUCACCUUCAAUCUGAAACUAUUCGAAGGUCCACAAGAACAAGAAUCCUAAUUAACUUGAUCCUCCCCUCUUUGAAAGAACCUCAGAAGACCCGCAGCCUUAAGAAAGAUCAGAACAUUCUGAAGGACCCAUUUAAUCCGACAUAUUUAGAUAAAAGAGACAGCUUUUAUCCUAGAGCUGUAAUGAUAUUGAACUCCAUUGUUUCGCAUUGAUGUGGCACUGGGGGCUGUGCAGUGGUGUAUGGAGUGUGGAGGGAUGGGUGUGUUGUUUUUUAAUGUGUGCUGGGGAAAGCACUUAAUUUUGUUGUACAAUGACAAUGAAGUCAUUCUAUUCCAUUCAAAUAAGAUAUGCACUAUGUGCAUAGGAAUUUGUUCAUUAUUUCUUCAAACUACAGUGUGGCCUCCCAACCGUCUGUGGGACCGUGAACUGGCCCUCUGCUUUAAAAGUCUGAGGACGCCUGGUAUAGGGUAUUCCUUUUUGAGAUGCCACUCAGUGAGAAGACUAACAGAGCCAUGCUGGCAUUCAGCAAAUGCUGAUUGUCGUGUGGCAUAUUCUCUCGUCAUGGAUUCUCUGAUGUAAAGUCAGGCUAGUUCUUUGGCUGAAGCUCUUCCCGCAAUCGGAACAGGAGUACGGUUUCCCUCUGGUGUGGAUUCUCUGAUGUCUGACAAAGGUGGACCGGUCACUGAAACUCUUAUUGCAUUUUGUACAUUUCUACCCAGUGUGAAUUUUCUGGUGUGACUUGAGAGAGUAACUCCGACCAAAGCACUUCUGACACUCCAAACACUGAUAUGGUUUCUUUCCAGUGUGGAUAAUCUGGUGUUUCUUGAGGGUGGUCCUCUGCCUAAAGCAUUUCCCACACUCCAAGCAUUGAUAUGGCUUCUCUCUGGUGUGGAUCCUUUUAUGUCUGACAAAGGUGGACCGGGCACUGAAACUCGUAUUGCAUUAUGUACAUUUAUAGGGCUUCUCCCCAGUGUGAAUCUUCUGGUGUGACUUGAGAGAGUGACUCCAACCAAAGCAUUUCCCACACUCCAAGCACUGAUACGGCUUCUCCCGGGUGUGGAUUAUCUGGUGUUUCUUGAGAUCAGCCUUCUGACCAAAGCAUUUCCCACACUCCAGGCACUGAUAUGGCUUCUCCCCUGUAUGGGUUAUCUUAUGUGAAGUAAGGUGUGCACUCCGACCAAAGCAUUUCCCACACUCCAAGCACUGAUAUGGCUUCUCCCCUGUGUGGAUUAUCUUAUGUGAAGUAAGGUGUGUACUCCGACCAAAGCAUUUCCCACACUCCAAACAUUUAAACAGCUUCUUCCAUUUUUGGAUCUUUGGAUGGUUCAUCUUACCAAGAUCCGAAUUCAUACACUGUCUCUCAUCUGCAGGAAUACUUUGAUUCAGGUAUAUGUUGGAACUUGUCCCUUCAUAAAGAGUUUCACAUUCAUUCAGCUUUCCACUCUGAUUUAAUGUCUUUGCAAACAUUAAAUCUGAUUCAUUCUGAGGGCGAGGUCUACUAAGAACACUGGAGAAAGCGGUCCUCUUUUUUUCCUCCUUGCUUUCCUGCUGCAUUGAGAUUUCGUGGGAGUCUCCCACCUGAAAGGGGAAGGAUUUGGCUUCCGGCUUUUUCGUGUGGCUUCCACCUUGGCUCACAGCCCCAUCUUGGCUCCAAAAAUUCUCCUUUAAUGCUUCACUCCCUGUUCUUUCUGGGGAAUCCUCACCUGGUUGCCUCUCAUUCUCACUUUUCCUUUCAUCGCCUGUUGGAAAUAGAGCAGAAGGCAAAUUAAGACCCAUUUUCACCAUGAAAAUUUCAUAGUCUGAGAAAGUUUCUGAACUUUGAAUAAGAGUCAAAAGAAAAGCUGAAACCUAUACAGAUUUUCUAUUUUUCAUUUCCUCACGCAGCAUAAAAUUCUGUGGUUCAACAAGCUUCAUGUUUAUUUAUUCAGAUUUUUUACUUCGAUGCCCAGAACUGGAUACAAUAAUUCAGGUGAAGAUUGACCAGUGAUGAUGAGAAUUUCCAUACAGGGGUCUGCCCAUGCAGUCCCUUGACUUACCUCAGGAAAGGGAAACUUUGGCCUUCCAGAUAAUACAACUUUCAAUCUUUUCUGGCAAAGCAUUACAGCAUCUUGGAGCUCCAUGUACCUGGCAGACUAUUGGGCUUAAACUAUCUAAAGAUCUACGGCUGUGGUUCCCAACCGUUGGGUCCCCAGGUGUUUUGGCCUACAACUCCCAGAAAUCCCAGCCAGUUUACCUGGAAACACACUGUGUCCAAUUCUGGGCAUCGCAGUUGAAGGGAGAUGUUGACAAGCUGGAAUGUGUCCAGAGGAGAGCAACUAAAAUUAUCAAGAAUCUGGAGAACAAGCCCUAUGUGGAGCAGCUUAAAGAGCUGGGCAUGUUCAGCCUGCAGAAGAGAAGGCUGAGAGGUGAUAUGAUGAGGGCCAUGUAUCAAGAUGUGAAAGGAAGCCAUAGGGAGGAGGGAGCAAGAUUGUUUUCUGCUGCUCUGGAGACUAGGAACAGUAGCUUCAAAUUACAGGAAAGGAGAUUCCACCUGAACAUUAGGAAGAACUUCCUAACUGUGAGAGCUGUUCAGCAGUGGAACUCUCUGCCCCAGAGUAAGAGGGAGUAUCCUUCUUUGAAGGCCUUUAAACAGAGAUUGGAUAGCCAUCUGUCAGGGGUGCUUUGAAUGUGAUUUUCCAGAUUCUUGCCAGGGGUUGGACUGGAUGGCCCACAAGGUCCCUUCCAACUCUAUGAUUCUAAGGGAACACCCGACUCAGGGGGAGAAGCAGACACAGUGCUGUGGUUAGUCUAGGAAAAACAUCCCCAACACCCAAGGAAACAAACAGACCGUUCUUCGUACCCAAGGGUCCAGUAUCCCCAUCGUCAUCUUCCUGUUUGGUCUCCACACUAAACUCCUUCUGCUCCGUCUCAGGCAGGGCUUGGCCACCUUCAGGGGAACCCACCGUCUCCUCUUCCUUUAACAGCACCUAAAACAUUGAUCAUUUGUUAACCGAAUGUAUAUCUCACGUAUAUGGCUUUCCUCUGUUCUACAUAGUCUACAUAGUAUUUGUGAGGUAGGUCAGUGCCAGAGAAAAGAACUGGCCCAGGAUCACACAAUGAGUUUAAUGGUCCGGAAGGGACCUGAACCCAGAUCUCACGAGUCACAAUCCCACAUUAAACCUACUGCCUGGGCAUUUGAUGGGGGCUGUAUUUGCUCUUUGCAGUGCACUCCUCACCUGCACUGUAUUUCAACUUUUUCUUAAAGUAAAAUCUCAGUAUGCCCACUAGCUCAUGGGAGGCCAUUUUUCCAUGUUUUUCUCCUUCCAUGACUGUUUCGGGCACAAAAGAGGCCUUUUUAAAAUCACAAAAUAAACUGAGAAUUAACUAUUGGGGCAGAGGAGAUGCUGGGAGCCCCAUAUAGUCUACAUUCAGUUACUAUCCUGGCUAGAUAAGUGAAGAAGACCUGUUGGAGCCUUGCACAAAGCAGCCCUUUGGGAAGCCUGGAACCCAAUGAACGGUCCUCACCUGCUUUGCCUGAUGCCUGGACUCUUGUUCUUGCUGCUUCUGGAGGAAGUCCUCCACCAAGGCCACCGCCUGGGAGCAAGUCUCUGGACCACAUUUCUUGACCCAGGCCUCUAUCUCUGGAGGCAGGACGGCCAAGAACUGCUCCAAGACCAGCAGCUCCAGGAUCUGCUCCUUCGAAUGCCUUUCAGCUUUCAGCCACCGGCAACACAGUUCCUGAAGCUGCCCGUAAGCCCCUCUCGGCCCCUCGGCCUCCCGGUAGCGGAAACGCCGGAAACACUGUCGCUGUUCCUCCCGCCGCAUGGCAUCCUUGUACAAGAUGGCAGCCUUAACUUUCCCAUAAUCCUCCCUGCCUUCGGCCUUCAGGCCAGUGAAGGCCCGCUUGGCCUCUCCGCUCAAGGCUGGCAGGAGCCGGGGCACCCACUCCUCCUUGGGCCACCGGCAGGCUUGGGCCACUUGCUCAAAGGAGGCCAGGAAGGCUUUGGCGUCGUCCCACGGCUCCUCCCUCGACUGGGAGGUGCCCCAGUUUGGGUGAGGGCCUUCCAGGCCCUUCAGGAACUCCUGCCAUUGGGUUUCCCACUGCUGAAGCGAGUCUUUGUCGGGCUCCUGUUUCACCUCCGUUGGUCUCCUUGGCAGGAAUGCCUCUGUCGUCCCAACAUGGCAGCUCCCUCUCACUUCCCAUGGCACCUGCUUUGAUAUAAGUCUUGUAAGGUCUUCUCGGGUCUCCAUUUUCAUCCUCGGACAAUACUAGCCUGAAAUCGUGGGAAAUGCUAAAGUCUACUGCGGCUGUCUAAACAUCCGCCUGGAGCGUACCGCCUGGCAAAAUUGAAAGAAAAAAGAAGAAUUUUAUACAACAUUCAGUUUUUAAAGAGGAAGAAUUAUGAAAGCAAAGAUGCAGGGCUGGAACAGAACUGGUCAUUGAACAGGUCACCAGGAAAAGGUUAAAACAGUACACUCUGACCACUGUAUCCAUGGGGCAUACUUUCUUGAAUUUACUGCAAAAACAGGAAACUAUGGAUUAUAGCAAACUUUAUUGAAAUGAAAGGCUCUUCCAGCACAAAGCUGUCCUGGAGAACCUAGGCCAGGAAUGUCAAGCCCAAGAUUCCUAAAUCUUUCACAUAUAGUCUCAAGAGUCAAUUCCCCGAUAUAUCCAUAACACGAUAGCAUCAAUCCAAGGCAGGCGACCUAUGCCACACAUGAAACGAGAACCAGGAACAGACUUAUAACUUGAAUACAUGAAUGCACAAAUGUGGGACCAGGAACUGAGAGCUGUUCACCUGAAUGCAAUGUUGCUCUCACAAAGGAUUAUACCAGCAGAAACCCACUUAAAAGGCCUCAAAUCCUCCCAUAACAUCAUUCCUCACAGACCUUCUUUUCCUCUCAUCUCUAAGCUGCUGGGAAAAGUGCGUCUGUCUCUGUUGAAUGCGCUGCCUCCAAAGUGCCUUGAUCUGGACAAACAUUUGUCUCCCACAUUUCUCUCAGCCUGCACUUCUGGCAGAUUCUUAUGAGAACUGAUAUCGCUUUCUCCAGUCUCAUGGGAACUGCCAGGAUAUUCCACAACAGCUCUCUCCAAGCCACUUCUAUCCUACUCUGGGCCCACUAAAACUCUCCCAGCAUCCCCAGCCUCAUCUUCUGAACACUCAGAAUCUGACCAGGGUAUAACAAGGUCUGUAAAAUCAAGAAGGACAUUGCUAUAGCACUGAUAGCUCCCCCAACAAGCUGCAACUGUCAUUUUGCAAAUGGCAGCCAUUUUUAAAACUGGAGUUCUAAGGCGACGUCUUCAAAACAGAGGAGGACAUUGCUAUAGAGCUGAUUUAUUGUUCAAUCACUCCGUCGUUUCCGACUCUUCGUGACCUCAUGGACCAGUCUACGCCAGAGCUCCCUGUCGGCCGUCACCACCCCCAGUUCCCUUAAGGUCAAGCCAGUCCCUUCAAGGAUACCGUCCAUCCAUCUAUCUUGCCCUUUGUCGGCCUCUCUUCCUUUUUCCUUCCAUUUUCCCCAACAUCAUGAUCUUCUCCAAGCUUUUCUGUCUUCUCAUGAUGUGGCCAAAAUACUUCAUCUUUGCCUCUAAUAUCCUUCCCUCCAGUGAGCAGCCAUUGGGCAUUAUUUCCUGGAGGAUGGACUGGUUGGAUCUUCCUGCGGUCCAAGGCUGAUAGCUCCCCCAAUAAGCUGCAACUGUCAUGUUGAAAACAGCAGCCAUUUUGAAGAUUGGAGCUUUGAGGCGUACCUUCAAAAUGAAGGAGAAUAUUGGUAUAGAACUGACAACUCUCCCAGGAAGCUGCAUCUAUCAUUUUGAAAACAGCAGCAAUUUUGAAAACUGGAAUUCUAAGGCGAUGCCUUCAAAAUGGAGAAGAACAUUGCUAUAGAACUGACAGCUCCCCCAAUAAGCUGCAACUGUCAUUAUGAAAAUGGCAGCCAUUUUCAAAACUGGUGCUCUUGAGGCGAUGCCAGUUGCAGCCCAAGCACCCACUUGAUUCCUUUUUCACCCAAACACCACACAGAUGGACAAUAAUAGUAAUGUAUUAACUUUCCUACGAUUCUUCUUGUUAUUCAUCAUUACGAACAUCCUUGCCUUUUACAUUUCUCAGAGAAGGGCAAGCAGGCAGGACGGUCGGAGGAGGGCCGGGCCUGCAUGGCCGCCAGGGAGGAGCCUUGGGUGCUGCCACUCCGGAGGGAGAAGCUGGCCUGGAGGCUGGAGGUCCCUCGAUGGCCACACACCAGGGAAUGGCAUGGAGGGCCUGGAAACGCCCGAGGGGACGAGGCCUCCAGGAGGAUGCCCUUACGGUAAGCGCCAGUGCAUCAUGGUCCCUGGGUGCCGGAGCCACGCUCAUUUUACAUUAGAAGAAAUGCCGCUCCAUUUCCAAGGUUAAAUAGUCCUCCAUCUCUUCUCAUAGAUCCUUCAGCCUUCCAGAUGUUUGGACUGCAACUCCCAUCAGUACAGUCAGUGGAGAGGAAGGAUAACGAAGGGGCAAAGGCAUGCUGGUACUCCUACCAUCCAGGACCCCCGCCUUCCCGCCCUCCGGCUCUCCCUCAUCCUGUUCCCAAAGGAGGAGCUGCCACAUUUCCCCUCAGACCUGCCCUCCCUUUUCCCUUCGUAUCUUCCCUCACCUUCUUCCCUCUAAACCCAAGAACUCCGCCUCAGGCGUUUCUCCUUUUCCUCCAAAAUCCUCCGGGAAAGAAAAGCAAAAGGCACGAGUUUCCCAAGAAGCCGCGUUUGGAGGAGAAGCCGGACCAGGAAGAGGAGGGCACAGGACACAUCCUCCAAAACAAAACACCGCAGGAAGUCCUCUCUAGCCACCUGUAGGUCCACAUCUCGGAGGUUUGCCUUCAAGCCGCCUCUGGUCCUCCAGGGUUUGGACAAAAAUGCCUGGAAGAGCCGAACCUGGGAAACACGUGUGCUGCGAACAUUGCCUGGAGAUGGAUGUUGUUCCCCUGAAUUGCAAAAGGGUUUCUGGGGCAAAGAAGGGGGUUUCCUCUGCCGUGAAGCCUCCGGCACUUUGGACCUCUUGUCGGUCUCCCAUCCAAGUGCAAACCAAGGCUGACCCUGCUUAGCUCCCAAGACAGAUCACAUCAACUGCCUUCAGGGUAUUUAGUCUUAAGAGAAGGGCAAGCAGGCAGGACGGUUGGAGGAAGGCUGGGUCUGCAUAGCCGCCAGGAAGGAGCCUUGGGUGCUGCCACUCCGGAGGGAGAAGCUGGCCUGGAGGCUGGAGGUCCCUCGAUGGCCACACACCAGGGAAUGGCAUGGAGGGCCUGGAAACGCCCGAGGGGACGAGGCCUCCAGGAGGAUGCCCUUACG